rnacentral:rRNA from 1 species
GCUCAAAUUUGAAAUCUGGCGUCUUUGGCGUCCGAGUUGUAAUUUGAAGAAGGUAUCUUUGGGCCCGGCUCUUGUCUAUGUUCCUUGGAACAGGACGUCACAGAGGGUGAGAAUCCCGUGCGAUGAGAUGACCCGGGUCUGUGUAAAGUUCCUUCGACGAGUCGAGUUGUUUGGGAAUGCAGCUCUAAGUGGGUGGUAAAUUCCAUCUAAAGCUAAAUAUUGGCGAGAGACCGAUAGCGAACAAGUACAGUGAUGGAAAGAUGAAAAGAACUUUGAAAAGAGAGUGAAAAAGUACGUGAAAUUGUUGAAAGGGAAGGGCUUGAGAUCAGACUUGGUAUUUUGCAUGUUGCUCUCUCGGGGGCGGCCGCUGCGGUUUACCGGGCCAGCAUCGGUUUGGAGCGGCAGGAUAAUGGCGGAGGAAUGUGGCACGGCUUCUGCUGUGUGUUAUAGCCUCUGACGAUACUGCCAGCCUAGACCGAGGACUGCGGUUUUUACCUAGGAUGUUGGCAUAAUGAUCUUAAGUCGCCCGUCUU